rnacentral:rRNA from 1 species
CCGGCAUGGGGGAACCUGACCGCCUGCCGCGUGAGUGAUGAAGGCCUUCGGGUUGUAAAGCUCUUUUGUGUGGGAAGAUAAUGACUGUACCACAAGAAUAAGCCCCGGCUAACUUCGUGCCAGCAGCCGCGGUAAUACGAAGGGGGCUAGCGUUGUUCGGAAUUACUGGGCGUAAAGGGUGCGUAGGUGGUUAUGUAAGCCAGAAGUGAAAGCCCUGGGCUCAACCCGGGAAUUGCUUUUGAAACUAUGUAGCUAGAGUUCGAGAGAGGUAAGUGGAAUAUCCAGUGUAGAGGUAAAAUUCGUAGAUAUUGGAUGGAACACCAGUGGCGAAGGCGGCUUACUGGCUCGAUACUGACACUGAGGCACGAAA